rnacentral:lncRNA from 10 species
GCCAAUAAUAUGUGUUCACUUGAAGCCCGCCCAACACACUGGCCAGGCUUUCAUCAUCAUUCCCAAUCACCAAGCAGACUGCCCAGGCGGCCACUACCUCUCAGGAAGGCUUCUGGGACAAUCUCAAGGCGAUGUGUGAACUCGGGAAUCUUGUAAGCAUUUUGCUCACGCAACUUGGCUUUCUUUGGAACUUGAAGCUUGCUUCUGUUCAACUGAAAUCAAAAUUGCCUGUCAUGGAGAUGUGCUUGCAGGCUGUGACUGCGGCUCCACACUGGAACUUUUAGCUACAACCCCCACAAACACUGACUGAGAAUACUGAAUGGGGUGCUGGGGUGAACAGAGGAAAACUUUGGAUGCUGAGAAAAUGAUGCAAGCUCAGUGACCUCCCAUUCAACUGGAGGGGGUCUGUGGGGAUCAGAAGAAGCAAGGCUUCACUGGUUUCCAUUUUCCUGAGCUAACGGCCACAAGCUUAUUCCAAUGGACCCUUGUGAUUUGAGAUAGUUUGUGCUGGCUGCAUUUGGAGCUCCAGCUUCCGUGGGAGUUGGAGCGGAAAGAACACUGAAAUGUCCUCUUCUUGCUGGGAGCCGUGGACACCUCUUCUGGAGAAGGAUGAAGAAACUGAGGCACAGGGAUGUGAAGUAACUGGCCCAAGUGGGUGACAAAGCUGGGAUCGGAACCAGCAGGUAUUCACGAUUGUGAUGCAACCAGCCUCGGAGACACCCUGAGAAACGCCGCCUAAUGGAAUCCAUCCCUCGGGACAGAAGCCGCCGGUCUUCCCUGACCGCACCCACUCGCCCCACAGAGCACCCCCUCCUUGUCAAAGCCGGCGACUCUGCAGGCUUCUGGUGCAGACAAUGUGGCCACCAGAUGCACGGCACCCAGCUUGCGGGGAUGCCGGGCAAAUGUUAUUACAGCGAUAACAGUGAUUCUGCUUAGGAUAACAAUGAUGGAAAUCUGUAUUAAAUGACUUGAAACUGCUGAUGCCUUUCCUUUUCCCCAAAGAGAAGAAAGGGAUGCGAAUGUGUCACUUGAACUGGCUGCUGCGGUUCAUCUGGACUCCAU